AGCCAGACUCCUACGGGAGGCAGCAGUGGGGAAUAUUGCACAAUGGGGGAAACCCUGAUGCAGCGACGCCGCGUGAGUGAGGAAGUAUUUCGGUAUGUAAAGCUCUAUCAGCAGGGAAGAAAAUGACGGUACCUGACUAAGAAGCCCCGGCUAACUACGUGCCAGCAGCCGCGGUAAUACGUAGGGGGCAAGCGUUAUCCGGAUUUACUGGGUGUAAAGGGAGCGUAGACGGCAUGGCAAGUCAGAUGUGAAAGCCCGGGGCUCAACCCCGGGACUGCAUUUGAAACUGUCAGGCUGGAGUGCAGGAGAGGUAAGUGGAAUUCCUAGUGUAGCGGUGAAAUGCGUAGAUAUUAGGAGGAACACCAGUGGCGAAGGCGGCUUACUGGACUGUAACUGACGUUGAGGCUCGAAAGCGUGGGGAGCAAACAGGAUUAGAUACCCGCGUAC
rnacentral:rRNA from 1 species